AACGAACGCUGGCGGCAUGCCUAACACAUGCAAGUCGAGCGCCCGUAGCAACACGGGAGCGGCGCACGGGUGAGUAACGCGUGGGAACCUGCCCAGAGGUUCGGGACAACCGCGGGAAACUGCGGCUGAUACCGGAUGAUACCUGAGGGUCAAAGAUUUAUCGCCUUUGGAGGGGCCCGCGUCGGAUUAGGUAGUUGGUGGGGUAACGGCCUACCAAGCCUGUGAUCCGUAACUGGUCUGAGAGGAUGACCAGUCACACUGGGACUGAGACACGGCCCAGACUCCUACGGGAGGCAGCAGUGGGGAGUAUUGGACAAUGGGGGCAACCCUGAUCCAGCAAUGCCGCGUGGGUGAUGAAGGCCUUCGGGUUGUAAAGCCCUUUCGGCGGGGACGAUGAUGACGGUACCCGCAGAAGAAGCCCCGGCUAACUUCGUGCCAGCCGCCGCGGUAACAC
rnacentral:rRNA from 1 species